rnacentral:rRNA from 1 species
AUGGCUCUUAAGGCUGCAUCAUGCAUACGGUUUUCAAGACUGCGCCUGCUGUCGAGCAGGCUAACAUACUGUUCUUGCUCGGAUGUGCCUGCUUCUCGUGCUUCUGGGGGUACAGCGGGGUCCACUGAGUUCGAAUCUGCAAUCCGGUCGCUCAAGAACAACAAUCUCCGGCCAGAGAUACUGACACGUGUUCUUGAUUCUACUUCAGAUUUGAACUUGUCCCUUCGGAUAUUUAAAUGGGCAUCAAGUCAGAGGAUAUUCGCUCAUACGGCUGACACAUAUGCCUGCAUGAUCUCCAAGCUCGGUGUUGUUGGGAACUGUGAUGAGAUGGACAGCCUCCUAAAGGAGAUGAUUAAAUUGAAUGCCCCUAUAUUGGACAAAAUCUUGAACGAUUUAGUUCAGUUCCUGAGCAAUAAGAACCGUUACGAUGAAGCCUUGCUGGUGAUUCAGAAUGCUUGCUCUGGGAAGCUCAAGAUCUCAGUGUCAUCUUGCAAUGCUGUGCUGUGUGGUUUAGUCAAGGAAGGGAGGGGUUUGCGACCAUUCAUUCGGGCAUACAUGGAGAUUGUGAAGGCUGGGGUCCUUCCUGAUGUGGAAACCUUGAAUUGGUUAAUUGAGGUGUUGUGUGAAGCUGGUAAAUUAGACCUGGCAUUGAUUCAGUUUGACAGGAUGAGCAAGAAAAGGUGUACCCCUAAUAGCCGUACUUUCAAGAUACUCAUAACAGCACUUUGUUCUCACGGCAGAGCAGAUGAAUCGAUAGAACUCUUUGAGAAGAUGAUGCAGCUGAGAUGCAUCCCUGAUAGCUGCUUUUAUGUUCAAGUGCUGCCCCUAUUUUGUAAGUUCAAUAAACCCAAGGAGGCAAGUAAAUUGCAUCAAAUGCUGAAACAAGAUAGCCUUCAGUUGGACCUACAUUUGUAUAGUGCCUUGAUUAAAUGUUUGUGUGAGAACCAACUAUUGGAUGAUGCUGUCACAGCAUUUAAAGAAAUGACAGCGUCAGGUCAUGCACCGAUGACAAAUACGUAUGUGAAUGUUGUAGAUUGCUACUGUACAUUAUCCCAGUUCCACAAAGCUGUGAGUUUUCUUGAGGUAAAUGAUGUCGCAGAAACAGAACCGUAUAAUGUACUGUUGAGAGAGUUAUGUAAAACAGGCACCUUGCGAGAUUUAGUUAGCUAUCUUGAGAAAUUUCGCGCAAGGGGGCUGGUUGAUUGUCGCUCAUGGAACAUAGUUAUCACCCAGUUCUGCAAACAAGGGAACAUUAGAGGAGCAUCUGAGCUUAUUGGUAGAAUGACAGUUUCUUCUUUUACAGCUGAUGAGAGUACUUAUUCUUCUGUUGUAUCUUGUUACUGUCAGUUAGGUUUGUACAGGACUGCCCUAGAUAUGUUCAGAAGAGCCAGUGUUAGCAAUUUGGUACUGAAUUCAGAUUCUUUCUCGCAACUGGUAGAAGGUCUGUGCCACAUGGAGCGGAUCAAAGAAGCUGUUGAAGUUUUUAAAUAUCACUGCAAAAGAGGUUGCAGCCUUACCAAUGAAGCGCUUGAUAUACUAAUCCAAGUGAGUUGUAUGGCUGGAAUGAUACGUGACGCAAUCAGAAUGCGUUCGCUAGCUGUUUGCACUGGCACUUCUUGUGCAUUUUCAACUUAUAACACAAUUAUCCAUGCACUACUGCAUUUGAAGAAGGAGAAGGAUCUGUUGCUUCUCCUUGCACAGAUGCUGAUGGAAGGUUGUCUAUUGGACAGCUACACAUACAAUGUUCUUGUGCGUUGUUUCCUUACCAAGGAGACAAUUCUUGAGGCUGCUCUGUUGUUCAACAAAAUGGUGAAUGAUGGCUUUGUUCCUGACCAAGAGACAUUUGAACUAUUAGUCCCUGAUAUGGCCGUGUUUUCGUUACUAAGCAGGGUUUCAGAAAGUUUACUGAAAGUGGCAAGUAUAGAUGGAAUGGCAAGCCCUAGAAUUUAUAACAUUAUCAUUUAUGGCCUUAUCAAAGAAGGCUUCAAAAGUGAGGCAUGUAAGUUUUUGGAUCAAAUGCUAGACAAGGGAUGGGUACCUGAUUCCAAGACACAUCGUGUGUUAGUUGGGACAGUUGAUGGAGAUGAGCCUAGAGAAGUUGACAAUUCCUUCCAAACAGCUGAUGAUGACACUGUAAGCAAUAUACUGUUGGAGGGUCUAGAAUGA